AUUAACUUAAAUUAUGUCAUCAUAAUACGAUACAAGUAUUUGAGUUAGGCCUCUGUGCGGUACAGUUUUUUUAAAAACACAGCUGAGAAGCAUCAGGCAGUGGCGCAGACGGCCUGCAGCGCGUGCCGCCGGGGAGUUGGGAAGAGGCUCGAGGGCUGCGCUGGGGGGCUUGUCGCGGGGGCUUCCGGAACUUCCGCGCCUAGGGAGGCUGACAGUUAAAAUCGAGUUUGUUCUGCCGGACUCGGAAACUGCGAUCGUGAGGCGUGGAGAUCCAAGAGAAACAACCACAAAAUUAGCAUUCUGGUGGAGAAGCUCCAGUAAGAAAGUAGUCCGUCACCCACGGAAUAGGAGAGUGAUACUCACCCAGGAUGGAAGUGUGUCCUUACUGUAAAAAGCCAUUUAAACGAUUAAAAUCCCACUUACCAUACUGUAAGAUGAUAGGACCAACUGUACCGGCUGAUCAGAAAGCUUGUCAGUCCAAGCCAGCUACACGCCCACACGCUAAAAAAAUGAAAGGGCCCAUCACAGACUUAAAUAACACUAAAGAGAGAAAGUUGGAGACGGAGAGUAAGAAGAGAAAUACCAACUUGGUAAAAGACAAACCAGAAUGGACAACAAAGUCUUUUCCACUAUUGGCUUUUGGUUUGGAAAGAGCAAGUAAUACAAAGGCAGAUAAAGACAUCCAGAAUCAAGUUCAGUGCUCCAUCAAAAAGUUGAAAAAUACCGAACCAAAGAUUACUUUCCAGGGAGAAACAGAGGCUCAGUUUUAUGCGUCAGAGGACACCACUCCUAAAAAAGAACUUGCCAAAUAUUUGCCUCCAUCAGGGGAAAGUAGAAGUAACCUUCCAGAAACUGAAACAUCUUUACCUCUUGGCCCAGUAGAACCUUUUUUAUCAAAUCAAGAUAGAAAAUAUUCUUCAGCUUUACCCAGUGAUAUUCGGACCACUUCUACUGAUUUAAGAUUGGACAAAAUUGAUCACCCAAGACAGAAGCUUCUAGUAAAUUUAUCAGAUAAGCCUAUUGGUGAUUAUCACAGUUCUCCCAUGAAUCUCAAUUAUGGGGUUGAAAGAGUACAAACAUUGUCAAGCAAUGAGAGACAGUCCAAGGCCAGGGACCACCUCUCAGAAGUCUCUUCUGAUGUUAGAGACUCUGAGACUCAAGAAAAGAACACGGAGUCACAAUUUUUAAAUUUUAAAGUUAGCCCAGUAGGAGAUAUCCCAGUCAGGGAGAACCAAGGAAAAGGACUGAACCUUGGAACAGAGGCACAUGGGAGCAGAGGAAAUGCAGAGAAAAGCGUAUCUGUAAAAGCAAUCCAGGAAUGGGCUUCUGUGAACGGUGAUGCAAAGAACAUCAGUAGUGAUGAUUCAGCCACAGAGAAGAAAGGUCCAGAUGAAGGUCCCAGUUUAAAUUUGUUCACUCCAAGAGAGACAACCUGCAGUGAGCUGCUUUCUGUGUCACAGUCAUAUAAUCAAAGCCUUGCCUCUCUGGCUGUCAGAUUUUUUCAAGAAGAGAAAGCAGAAGCCUGCAGUCCUAACCGAGUCCCUGUUGUGAAGGUGUUAACAGAGAGUGGUGAAGGAGCCUCUCUGCAGUACAAAUUUGGCUGUGGGCCCCAAGUGUCACACCCUGGGUGCCAGCAAACCUUACAUUCAGUCCUGCCUCACGCCUCUUACAGCCCCUUCAGUCCGAUUGGCAUUGCUGAUAGGAAGACCCUUUCAAGCUCCCUGGGGCUGGAGUGGUUUCCAGAGCUCUAUCCUGGUUAUCUUGGACUAGGAGUAUUGCCAGGGAAGCCCCAAUAUUGGAAUGCAAUGGCCCAAAAGCCUCAGCUCACCAGUCCCCAGGGGGAGAGACUCUCAAAAGUUCCUUUGUUGGAAAGAAGCUCGACUGCUCUCAGGAGUUUGGAACCCCCGACCAGACUUACAACCUCCAACUUGUCUCUGAUGAGGCUCUUGGGAGCUGUCCAGAAAGGCUGGAUCAGGUGCAGCACCACGGUGAGGAGUGGAGUUGGGGGCAUCACCAUGCUCUUUACGGGGUACUUCGUCCUGUGGUGCAGCUGGAGUUUCAGGCAUCUGAGCUACAUGCUUACUGAUCCAGAAGAGUAUGUGUGAAGUGGCAGAAAAUGAGCCUACAUCAGGCCCUUUUGGGGUCCCUGACCAGAUCUUGGCAGGCGUGAGAAACAAAAGAAAGUAAGAUGGAUCCAGAGUUGCAGGUAGCAGGAAUGAAGAAAAAGAAGAGUCUUAACUGAGGUCUUUGAAUUUGAUACUGAGCAUGGAUUCUUAAAUGAUCGGGGGACUUCGCAGAAGCCAUGGGCAGUGUCUCUGGAUUCUGGAGUUCCUUGGUAACGGCCACCGCCAGACAGGGAGAGUUCCUUUCCGCUCACUGCUGCCAUCUGGGGUAGGAGUAUGCUUAAAGACCUUUCAUCAAGUCUUUUAAGGAUUUCUUCAUAAUGUCCCAAAUAGUCUUGAGUCGUUGAGGUCAGCUGACAACUGUGGAUUCUUUUCCGGGAUUCGGGUCCAGACAAACUCGCAUGAUCAAGGGAUACACUUCAUAGCUCCCACUUGCAAGAGUAAUGUAACUCUGGUUUAUGAGGACACAUUUAUUACUUGUACAUGCAAAUAUCCCUACAAGAUAAGUUCAUUUGCACAGCCAGUCCCAGUCAUGCAUGUGAUCUGGCGGAUGCAAGGCUUCAUCCGGCAAGACUAGAGAUUCUUUUCCAAACUGGAAAUGUAGACAAGUGAACCUGAGCUCCUGAAGCCAGCGCCCUGUAGAUAUGAGGCAGGAGUAACUGCUCUUCUCUUCACAAAGCCAAGAAAAAGUCAGGAAUGCUCGUAACUUGAUGGGCCAUGUUAAAAACAGCCUCCUUGAUUUUGUCUCCCCAAACGAUGCUCUGUACCUUCCGCGGUCCUGGCAGAAGCCCCUUGGGUGAGCAGCAAUGCUUAGGUUUUGCUUCCAGUUCAGCAGCGUGAAUUUGCCAACACGUCUUCCAGCAGUGGGCAGAGAAUCCAUACAAACAGUCCCCAUCCGCCUUCCUGUCCAUCCAGCAGCAGAGUUAUGUGAUAGCCAGGCUCCUCUCCACCUUUGAGGAGACUCGCAAGGAGGGUCUCAUUCUGGAAGGCUGAAAAUCCUCGCAGGCAGGCCGCAAUGCCCUGGCUGCACCCUUGUGGUCUGCAGGGUGGGUUAACCCUGGCAUUAGCUCCUGGAAUUUAAGCCUGAGUGAGAAUAUCUGAAAUCCUGAGUGUACUGGGGAAAGUACUUUUGUCUAAUACACAUUAAAGUGUUUACCUAUUAAAGAUAAUCAUUUGUUCUAUUAGCAAAGGGGUGUUUUACUCCUUAUGAGAAACUAUCUGCUGCCAUUGUUCUUAGUCCUUGUUUGUCCUGAUUUACAGAUUAUCCUAAUUACCCUGUUCCCUGUGCUCCUCCACCAUGGGAUCACCACCACUCUUCAGAACAACAACAUUUAUAUAUAUAUACAUAUAUAUAUAUAUAUAUUUUUUUUAAUUCCCCUCUUACUAUCUGCCUCUUCCAGCCCCUCACCUUUGAGUUGGGUGGGUGUGGCCCUGGGCAAGUUAUCUAACUUACUGGAGCCUUUCUGGUCGGUCUGAACUAUAAGGUGGGGACGAUCAUACGUACUUUGCAGAGAUUCGGGGAGAUAAGAAGUCCCGCAUCAGUAAAUUCCAGCAAAGGCUGACAUGAAGCAGGAAUUAAAUUAUAACAGCUCUUUUGAAACCUCCGUGGCGUCAUCCCGUGUUGAGAUUCUAAACUUGAACCAAGCAGAAAGACCGCACCACAAUGCACACGGCAGUCCGGCUGCCGUUCGGGUGCCUGCUCCGUCAAAGCCAAGUGCCGUGCCGAGUUCUUUACCUGCGUGCUCUCGUUCUGUCCUUCGGGCCACUCUGUGAGGCGGGUGCUCUGCUCCUUUUUCACCACGAGGAAGUGGAGGCUUGACGUGAGGCGGUUUGCCUCCAAGGCUGCGUGGUGUGGGUCUCAGCA